UCUCCAAAAUCUUCUUGGGAAAUUGAAUCCAACGGGUGUUGAUGGUCUAUCAUGGACUAUUUUGAGAUCAAAUGAAAAAGAUGGUCAUGACAUGACUAGGAGUAAGCUUUUGCCUGCACGCAGUGUAUUGCGCGAAUGUUUUAAACAGAUUAUCCAACCCAUUACCAAGACAGACCUUGUCACAGAUGUUGUAUUCAGUAAAGAAUCGACGCUACCCCAUCUGAACUUUCGAGGUUUCUAUACCAUGAUCUUGUACAAGGGAAAUAAACCAAUAACCGUGGCAACUUUCAGGUAAGCUUAAGUAGAUAUCUUAACCAUUAUGUAAUGAAUUUUUUUUCCUUUAAAAGGAAAACAAAAAAACAAA